rnacentral:misc_RNA from 1 species
GAUGAAGAACGUAGCGAAAUGCGAUAAGUAAUGUGAAUUGCAGAAUCCAGUGAAUCAUCGAAUCUUUGAACGCACAUUGCGCCCGCCAGUAUUCUGGCGGGCAUGCCUGUUCGAGCGUCAUUUCAACCCUCAAGCACAGCUUGGUGUUGGGACUCGCGUUAAUUCGCGUUCCUCAAAUUGAUUGGCGGUCACGUCGAGCUUCCAUAGCGUAGUAGUAAAACCCUCGUUACUGGUAAUCGUCGCGGCCACGCCGUUAAACCCCAACUUCUGAAUGUUGACCUCGGAUCAGGUAGGAAUACCCGCUGAACUUAAGCAUAUCAAUAAGCGGAGGA